UACUUUACUGAUGCAACUGUUGAGUCCC
rnacentral:piRNA from 2 species